AUAAAUUCAACUUCCACUCUCAAAGAAUGCAUUUUUCUAGGGUAUUCCUCAAGUCACAAAAGGUGUAAGUGUCUUGCUUCCAAUGACAGACUUUAUAUCUCCAAGGAUGUUGUUUUCAAUGAAACACACUAACCUUAUCCUUAUUUGUUUCCAUCUAAGCCCACUUCUUCCACCUCACCCUAUACCACUUCAUCUAUAUUUCCUUUGAUGCAUUUU
rnacentral:lncRNA from 1 species